GGGGUCUGCAAGUCUUCUUCCCCUGAACAUCAAUACCAUACGUCCUCCUGGAACUACUUCUAUUGAUCGUGCCUCGAGAAAUGAAGAGAAAUCCCUCUGAAAUUGUGCCUUAUAUGCGUUUAUCACAUCAGGAGGACUUGUCUUUGAAAUGAAUAUCUUUCCUUUAUUUAUUAGCGGAUUCAUUUUGUCACUCAAUUCUGGAGGCACCUGUGAAAGCCAAUGAAGACUAGAAGCAGAGUGCACAAAAUGCAG
rnacentral:misc_RNA from 1 species